UACGUAGGGUGCAAGCGUUGUCCGGAAUUAUUGGGCGUAAAGAGCUCGUAGGCGGUUUGUCGCGUCUGCUGUGAAAACCCGAGGCUCAACCUCGGGUCUGCAGUGGGUACGGGCAGACUAGAGUGCGGUAGGGGAGAUUGGAAUUCCUGGUGUAGCGGUGGGAUGCGCAGAUAUCAGGAGGAACACCAAUGGCGAAGGCAGAUCUCUGGGCCGUAACUGACGCUGAGGAGCGAAAGCAUGGGGAGCGAACAGG
rnacentral:rRNA from 1 species